rnacentral:tRNA from 1 species
GGAGGGGUGGCAGAGCGGUUGAAUGCACUGGUCUUGAAAACCAGCGAGGAUGAAAGUCCUCCAAGAGUUCGAAUCUCUUCCCCUCCGCCA